rnacentral:rRNA from 1 species
ACGUAGGGUGCAAGCGUUAAUCGGAAAUACUGGGCGUAAAGCGUGCGCAGGCGGUCUUGCAAGACAGAUGUGAAAUCCCCGGGCUCAACCUGGGAACUGCAUUUGUGACUGCAAGGCUGGAGUGCGGCAGAGGGGGAUGGAAUUCCGCGUGUAGCAGUGAAAUGCGUAGAUAUGCGGAGGAACACCGAUGGCGAAGGCAAUCCCCUGGGCCUGCACUGACGCUCAUGCACGAAAGCGUGGGGAGCAAACAGGAUUAGAUACCCUGGUAGUCCACGCCCUAAACGAUGUCAACUGGUUGUUGGACGGCUUGCUGUUCAGUAACGAAGCUAACGCGUGAAGUUGACCGCCUGGGGAGUACGGCCGCAAGGUUG